AUAUUUUACUGAAUAAAAUAUAUUUUUGGAAUGAAAAAAGGUUGUCCCAGAAUGAGGUAAUCCUAUUGCAUUUCGGAUGUGCAGACACCUGCAAUAUCCCCAAAUGUGGAUUACUUAACUGUAACGUUUAUGGUAGUGGGGGACUGCAUUCACGUUCUCUCCAG